AUGCACCGGCGCGCUCAGAACGCGCUGAUCUCGCCGGCCGCCGUCGCCGCCGGCACCUUGCGCGGGCACAGGGACACGACGCCGCCCAUUGUGUUCUUGCAGUGCGCGAUAGCGCCCUCGAUGGCGCUCUGGAGCUCCUCCAUCGAAGACGACGACGCCGCCGACAGCGACACGGGCCGCAUGCCAAUGCUGCUUGUCAUGGCCGCCGCUGCUGCGGCCGGCACGUCGGGGAAGCCCACGCCGCCCGCUCCGCCGAAGGAGAGCAUCCCGGAGUGGUUCGGCGACGACCGCAUCGACGACGGGCAGCUCGCCGCGCACCGCUUCUGA
rnacentral:rRNA from 1 species